rnacentral:lncRNA from 1 species
CGCUAACCACCGGCCGCCGCCCUGGAGGGGACCCGGCGGCCCCGCCACGUGCGGCUGCGAGUUUCAGACCCGCUUCCGGGGGGCGGCGGCCGUCGGAGGCCUGGGUUGGGGGGUCGUGAGCCGGAUGUUCCCCGCAGCUGGCCAGAAAGCUGCCUCUGAGCCUCUUGAGCAACUCCCUGCCUCCUCCGGUAGUCUCUCUGGACUCUCCAAGUGACUUGCUGGGGGCACCGGGCGCGGGGAGGGCAGGCCCCCGGGGUGACGCAGAACACUAUGCGUUUGUUACAACGAUUAAAUGAAGAACACAGAAGUCUCUGGCUCUGCCGGGCAGAACGCCUCUUAAGAGUAUCGCAGCUAAAAAGUGGGUUGGCUGUAAGCUGAUAAUCAGGUAGCUGUGGUCAGACACCCACUCCAGAACCUCUGCUACUCAGAGACCAUGUUAUCACACGCGACGUCCAUUAGGCCCCAGUAAUCCGCUAUCAACGCAUUUUAGAGCCAUUUGAAUGUUAAGGAGAUUUUUAUUAAUGGUCCAUGAUCCUAAAAUGUGACUAUUGGUUCUAGGAACAGAUUUUAACAACUCAAGGCUGUGAUGAGUGAUUUUCUGAUUUCUGUGCAGCCUAAGGCCUCAGGAGAUUUCAUCUGGGAGAUUGGG